UACAGAGGGUGCAAACGUUGCUCGGAAUUAUUGGGCGUAAAGCGCACGUAGGCGGUUUGUUAAGUCGGAUGUGAAAGCCCUGGGCUCAACCCAGGAAGUGCAUACGAAACUGGCGAACUUGAGUAUGGAAGAGGGUCGCGGAAUUCCCGGUGUAGAGGUGAAAUUCGUAGAUAUCGGGAGGAACACCAGUGGCGAAGGCGGCGACCUGGGCCAAUACUGACGCUGAGGUGCGAAAGCGUGGGGAGCAAACAGG
rnacentral:rRNA from 1 species